AGAGAAGCAAAGUGAUGAGCAGUACUGGCUGGAGCCCCAAAGAGGCACGUGUGUGUUUGUGUGUGUCUGUGUAUAUCUGUGUUUUUGUCUGUGCGUGCACAUGUGUGUCUGGUAGUACAAAUGUGUGUGAUUGAUUAUAGGGAACUAGCUAGCUAUGUGCCUUCUCUUAGGCCAUGACAGUCAAACUGAUAAGAUCUGAUUGCUUC
rfam:Otolemur garnettii contig148819, whole genome shotgun sequence.